rnacentral:rRNA from 1 species
UACCAACCCCUCAAGUGAUGGUCAGAUUUAUUGGGUUUAAAAUGUUCGUAGCCGAUCCUGUAAGUUUUUUGUAAAAGGUUUUAUAGAAGUAAAACGAGUGCAUAAAAUACUACAUGAUUUGAGAGUGGGAGAGGAUAGAAGAAUUUCUAAGGGAAGGGUUAAAUCUGCUUAGCUUAGAAGGACUACCAAAGGCGAAGGCAUCUAUCUAGAACAUAUCUGACGGUGAGGAACGAAACCUGAGGGAGCAAAAGGG